rnacentral:rRNA from 1 species
CGUCAAAUCAUCAUGCCCCUUAUGUCCCGGGCUACACACGUACUACAGUGGUCGGUACAGAGGGAAGCGAGGCCGCGAGGCGGAGCCAAUCCCAGAAAGCCGUCCCCAGUUCGGAUUGGAGUCUGCAACUCGACUCCAUGAAGUUGGAAUCGCUAGUAAUCGGAGAUCAGCAUGCUCCGGUGAAUACGUUCCCGGGCCUU